GACGAACGCUGGCGGCGUGCCUAAUACAUGCAAGUCGAACGCAGUGGGGACGGGCGAGUAACACGUGGGUAACCGCCCAUCAGAGGGGAUAAAACUUGGAAACAGGUGCAUAAGCGAAACGGAUGGAUGGACCCGGGGUGCAUUAGCCAGUUGGUGGGGUAACGGCUCAGCAAGGCCACGAUGCAUAGCCGACCUGAGAGGGUGAACGGCCACACUGGGACUUAGACACGGCCCAGACUCCUACGGGAGGCAGCAGUGGGGAAUAUUCGGCAAUGGACGAAAGUCUGACCGAGCAACGCCGCGUGGGUGAAGAAGGUUUUCGGAUCGUAAAGCUCUGUUGUUAGAGAGGCGGUAUCUAACCAGAAAGCCACGGCUAACUACGUGCCAGCAGCCGCGGUAAUUC
rnacentral:rRNA from 1 species